rnacentral:rRNA from 1 species
CCUACGGGAGGCAGCAGUGGGGAAUAUUGCACAAUGGGGGAAACCCUGAUGCAGCGACGCCGCGUGAGGGAAGAAGUAAUUCGGUAUGUAAAGCUCUAUCAGCAGGGAAGAAAAUGACGGUACCUGAGUAAGAAGCCCCGGCUAACUACGUGCCAGCAGCCGCGGUAAUACGUAGGGGGCAAGCGUUAUCCGGAUUUACUGGGUGUAAAGGGAGCGUAGACGGUUGUGCAAGUCUGGAGUGAAAGGCGGGGGCUCAACCCCCGGACUGCUUUGGAAACUGUACGGCUGGAUUGCAGGAGAGGUAAGUGGAAUUCCUAGUGUAGCGGUGAAAUGCGUAGAUAUUAGGAGGAACACCAGUGGCGAAGGCGGCUUACUGGACUGUAACUGACGCUGAGGCUCGAAAGCGUGGGGAGCAAACAGGAUUAGAUACCCGUGUAGUC